rnacentral:rRNA from 1 species
GACGAACGCUAGCGGCGUGCCUAAUACAUGCAAGUUGAGCGAUGAAGAUUGGUGCUUGCACCAAUUUGAAGAGCAGCGAACGGGUGAGUAACGCGUGGGGAAUCUGCCUUUGAGCGGGGGACAACAUUUGGAAACGAAUGCUAAUACCGCAUAACAACUUUAAACAUAAGUUUUAAGUUUGAAAGAUGCAAUUGCAUCACUCAAAGAUGAUCCCGCGUUGUAUUAGCUAGAUGGUGAGGUAAAGGCUCACCAAGGCGAUGAUACAUAGCCGACCUGAGAGGGUGAUCGGCCACAUUGGGACUGAGACACGGCCCAAACUCCUACGGGAGGCAGCAGUAGGGAAUCUUCGGCAAUGGACGAAAGUCUGACCGAGCAACGCCGCGUGAGUGAAGAAGGUUUUCGGAUCGUAAAACUCUGUUGGUAGAGAAGAACGUUGGUGAGAGUGGAAAGCUCAUCAAGUGACGGUAACUACCCAGAAAGGGACGGCUAACUACGUG